CACCCACGCACACAGACACACAAACACACACACAUUUGCACACACACAUUUCUUGACAAAUGACUCUCCACUCGUGUCCUCUCCAGUGCCUCUGCAGAGUGCAGACUGCAGACCCAGUGUGUUCUGGGUAGAAAUGUGUGUGUGUUUGGGCCGGCAGCUCAGGAGGUCCUGUAAACACAGCCUGAAGCGCUUUAUUUGAUUUCUACCAAAUCAGGGAGGGACACAAUCUCCUAACCCAACACAUGGAAAUGAAGACCUGGGGAUAAGCUCAGUUCAUCCACCUGUUUAUCCUGCUACCCCCUACUGCCCCGGAGAUUCACCUGAGCAGACGAUCGUGACAGAACUACCCACCAAACACGGACCAAGCAGCGGAGGAGGGAGCAACGGGUGGACUGUCGCGAGUCAUGGACUUGGGAGCAGAUUCUGGCCGUAGAGGGCCCAUGGAGGAAGUCUGGUGAGGACCGGGAACGCUACCGGGGGACAUGGCUGGCGAGGAAGCCGGAGAGGCACCCCCAAGAUUUUUUUUGGGGGGGCACACGGGUAGUUUGGCUGGGCCAAGGGUGAGCCCUAAGCCAGUUACCCGUGCUUAUUGUGAGGAACGUAUGGAGUGGAGGGCGGCGAGGUAUGCAGAAGUGCGCACGAUCUCGCCCAUACGCACGCACAGUCCAGUGCGAGUGAUCCCAGCCCCUCGCAAGUGCCGUGCUAGAGUGGGCAUCCAGCCUGGUAGGAGGAUGCCUGCGCAGUGCAUCUGGUCACCGGUGCGCCUCCUAGGUCCAGGCUACCCUACGCCCACUCUACGCAUGGCAACCAUCAGGCCCCUGCACAGCCCAGUUCGCCCUGUACCAGCAUUCCGCUCGUACAGGGCUACUAGUUCCAUCCAGCCAGGACGGGUUGUGCAGGAGGUGCGGUCAAGACCGCCUGUGCGCCUCCACGGUCCGGUAUAUCCACAGCCAGCAUCACGCACCAGGCCUCCAGUGCGUCAGCCCAGUCCAACUCGGCCAGUUCCUGCUCCCCGCACUAGCCCUGAAGUGCGUGUCCCCAAACUGGCACAUCCAGUACCAGCACCACGCAUCAGGCUUCCAGUGCGUCAGCCUAGUCCCGAG
rnacentral:lncRNA from 1 species